UAGUUCAAACUAGAAUAAGUACA
rnacentral:snRNA from 1 species